rnacentral:tRNA from 1 species
GGAAGUCAUCCGGCCGGAUGAGGAGCCUGUCUUGAAAACAGGUGGCGGCCUCGCGCCGCUUGUGGGUUCGAGUCCCACGGCUUCCG